GUCUACGGCCAAGCCACCCUGAACGUGUGCGAUCUUGUCUGAUCUCGGAAGCUGAGCAGGGUUGGGCCUGGUUAGUACUUGGAUGCGGGACCACCCAGGAAUACCAGGUGCUGUAGGUG
rnacentral:rRNA from 1 species